UGCCAGCAGCCGCGGUAAUACGGGAGGUGCAAGCGUUGUUCGGAUUGACUGGGCGUAAAGGGCACGUAGGCGGGUUCGCAAGUCGGAUGUGAAAGCCCCAGGCUUAACCUGGGAACUGCAUACGAAACUGCGGAUCUUGAAUGACUAAGAGGUUGGCGGAAUUCCUGGUGUAGGAGUGAAAUCCGUAGAGAUCAGGAGGAACAUCGGCGGCGAAGGCGGCCAACUGGUGGAUCAUUGACGCUGAGGUGCGAAAGCGUGGGGAGCAAACAGGAUUAGAUA
rnacentral:rRNA from 1 species